GGUCACACCCGUUCCCAUACCGAACACGGAAGUUAAGCUCUCUAGCGCCGAUGGUAGUUGGGACUUUGUCCCUGUGAGAGUAGGACGUUGCCA
rnacentral:rRNA from 1 species